UUUUUUUUUUAUAUUUUAUUAUUUUUUAACUCUUACCUAGGUAAAGUGUUUUUUACAAAUUUCUGAUUUUGAAAAAAAAAAAAAAACGGUAAGGGCACUCUUUUAAAAAAUAAAAGAUACAAA
rnacentral:ribozyme from 1 species